GACGUAGGGCGCGAGCGUUGUCCGGAUUUAUUGGGCGUAAAGAGCUCGUAGGCGGCUUGUUGCGUCGACCGUGAAAACCCGGGGCUCAACUUCGGGCUUGCGGUCGAUACGGGCGGGCUAGAGUUCGGUAGGGGAGACUGGAAUUCCUGGUGUAGCGGUGAAAUGCGCAGAUAUCAGGAGGAACACCGGUGGCGAAGGCGGUUCUCUGGGCAUUACCUGACGCUGAGGAGCGAAAGCGUGGGGAGCAAACAGG
rnacentral:rRNA from 1 species